CACACACACACAACUAUAUAUCUAUCUAUAUCUAUAUCUAUAUCUAUGUCUAUAUUAGUUGUAUUGUUUGGCUUAUAACAAAUAGAAAUAUACUUUCCAUUAGCAACACAAUGGAGGUGAGUGGGACACAGCUAUAUUGGCUCAAGGAAAUGGCUCCAGUGAGUAUCUCAAAUUCAACACAUGGGCGUAUUUAUUUGUCCAACUUCAUCAAAUUUUGCACUUGAAAGGAGUGCAUUUUGUUGUACAUAAGCUACACAUUAAUCAAGUUGACUUAAAAAAAUUCCACUUAGAAAAUGGGCAAAAACUUAAGAUAUUUCACUAAAGCAGAUAUAUGAUCCAUAUCCAUAUAUCCCUAUAUAUCCAUAUGUGCAAAUACAUGCAUGGAAAGAUGUUCAAUAGCAAUUACUGGUGGGAACGUAAAAUAGUACAGCUACUCUGGAAACAAUUUGGCAGUUUAGUAUACACUUACUGUACAACUCUACAAUUGCAUUCUUGGGUUUAUCACCUCCCUGACACAAACAAUGACAACUCAUGUCCACACAAAAAUGAAAACAUGUUCAGAGAGAACCGAAUACAAAUGUUAGUGGCAGUGUUAUUUGUAAUAAUAAUAAUAAUAAUAAUAAUAAUAAUAAUAAUGCAGACAGCCCAGAUGUCCCUCAAUAGGUCAAUAGCUAAACAAACUGUGGUAUAGCCACACUAUUCAGCAAUUAAAAAGGAACAAGCUACUGACACACACAACUUGGAUGGAUCUCAAGUGCAUUAUGAUGAAUGGUGAAAGCCCAAAGUAUAUCCCAUCCAUACUAUAGGAUUCCAUUUACAGGACAUUCGUGAUGUGGCACAAAUAUAGUGAUGGGGGACAGAUCAAUGGUCGUUAGGAUUGGGAGAAGGUGUGACCUAAGGGUUAGUUAGAAGAGCUCCCUUGUGAAAUGGAACAGCUCUGUAGUGGAUGGUGGUGGUGGUAGUAAUAUGAAUUUAAACAUAUGAUAAUAUUUCGUAGAACUACAUAAAGAGUAUAUGUGAAAAUUGCUGUCAUCUGAAUAAGGUCUGUGGUUGAGUUAAAAGUACUGUAUUAAUACUAUUUUCCUGGCUUUGACAAUGUACUAUGGUUACAUACAUUGAGGGAAGCUGGACGAAGGGUACAUGGGAUCGGUUUUGCAACAUCUUUCAAAGUACUUCAAAAUAGAAAGUAUUUAAAAAAUUCCUUGAAUGUAUAUGUCCAAUUGAGUGUGGAAACAAAAAAAAAGCACUAUGAAAUAAGAAUACAUAUCUAUUAGAAUGGCUAGUGUAAGGUAAACACACAUACUACUGUGCUUACAAAAGGGCCAGGCAAACAGUCCUUGUGGCAUACAUGAGGAAGCUCACUGGGAUUAAUAUUGCUGUAAGACCCUCACAGACACUGCUGGGCUUUAUAUGGGAGGUAGAAUAGGGGGUCAGAGCCACUUCUCCACAGGGUCACUGGUCUCAUCUGUCAAUCCAUAAAGUACACUGACCCCUCAACCUAGCAGGAAGACUUAUAUGGAAUGUUUGUACUUUGAUAAGGGAGCACAUCACAAAAUACAGGCAGGACUCUUGCCCAAGGGAUGUAUUCUUACAUGCUAUAUCAUUCCCAACUAGAGACAUGCAAGAAUAAUUCCCCCUAGACUAUGCAGAGAGAAGGGUCUACACUGUUUCAAAUUCAAUGUAUAAAAUGUGAUUCUGUAUCUUAUACUUUCAAAUCCACACACUUCAAACUUGCAUCAUAUGUAACCACCAUGUCCUGCUACAUGCAAAAUGGUACACAGAGGCAAGGGGGUCAGAACUUAGGGAGUCAGGCUGAGCUGAGUUUGUACCUGGGCUCCCAUGUGACUGUGGGUACAAUGCCUCACCACUCUGUGUCCAUUUCCUUACGUAUAAAAUGGGGAAAUUAGGCGCCUGGGUGGCUCAGUCGGUUGAGCUUCCGACUUCGGCUCAGGUCAUGAUCUCACGGUCUUUGAGUUUGAGCCCCACGUCGGGCUCUGUGCUGACAGCUCGGAGCCUGGAGCCUGUUUCGGAUUCUGUGUCUCCCUCCUCUCUGACCCUCCCCCGUUCAUGCUUUGUCUCUCUCUGUCUCAAAAAUAAAUAAACAUUAAAAAGUAAAUAAAUAAAAUAAAAUGGGGAAAUUACAAUCAGCCCAUGGUGGGUGAGAAUACCAACAUUUGAAUGCCAGCAAUGGAAGCUCAGAAUCACUGCUCAGUCUCUGUAUGGCUGUAUGGACACUCCCACCUUCAGUCACACUCCACAACCUUUCACAACUGGUUGGCAGGAAGUAUCUCCCAACUGCUAACAGCCUCCCAUGCUGCACUGUGAUCUGGAUAUUUCCAGGUGUCCACCUGCUGUGGCAACCCAAACUGCACCCUCCUCUUGCCAUCCUUCAGGAAGCCAGUCCUAAGUAGAUGUCCUACAUUUAGGGGUGCCUGGAUGGCUCAGUCAGUUAAGCAUCCGACUCUUGAUUUUGGCUCAGGUCAUGAACUUGUGGUUUCAAGAUUGAGUCCCAUGUCGGGCUCCACACUGAUUCUCUCUCUCUCCCUCUCUCCCUUUGUCCCUCUCCCCUGCUUGUGCUGUCUCCCCGCCCCCCCCCCCCCCACCGCCAAAAAAAGAUGUCCUACAUUUAGGGUCACCCUGCCACCUUCCCAGUAAGACUCCAUUAUCUCAUUACCUGUCCUUGUGGUCCCUAAAGAAGCACUAAACCUUUAAUCUGAAAAGUAAAACUACUGAGGUCCAAGAAGUCAACCUCAGGAAGUAACACAAAUAAAAACCAUAAUGAGCUGUGAAUGCAAGCCCAAGAAAGAUGAGUAAAGAGAGGAAACUUCAGUCCGAGAACACUUGGGUUCAAAUUGUAGUGCUGUCGCCUACCAGUUGUGACCAAGUAAGCAUGAGCGUCUGCCCACACCCAAGACAGGGAAGCCUGGCUCACUGAGGAAUGGGCUUUCUAGAACUACUUAAGAAUGUGUAUCUGCCCAAGACAUGUUGAAGAUGGCCAAUGUUUUCAGCAGAAAGAAGGGAGAGGGGAGGUGAGACAUGGAAGACAGAGAGGUGAGGGACAGCCAGGAUAGAGGAGUCAGGGAAGUAGAUGAGAGGGUAGAUUGUCCAUUAAGUCAGGAAGAUAGAAAAGUCACAAGGGUAGUGGCCAUGGCACUUGGACACCAGAGGUACAGCUCAGGCUCCAGGCACAAGAAUAGUCUAACCCCAGAGACACUCCAGUCCCCAGCUUGCAAUCUCGAUGGGUGAGCCUCUUCAGGACCUCUCAUGCAUCCUUGGUUUCAAGUCUACCUGGUCCAUCAGUGCUCUUGACAGUACUCUAAUCAGGUGACCUCAUGGAGUGGAAAGGUGAUAAUCAUGCAGGGAAUACAUAGUCCUAGGCUCAGAGUCCAGCCUAGGCUAGAACAAUCCACCCAAUGACAGUAGUCUGUGGCCACUAACCACAGGCAUGUACCAUGUGGUGAGGGCAGUCCCACCUGUGCCUGCCUUCUUGGAGAGAAUACACAGGUGUAACUGAGGAACAGGGUUGCGAGGACUAUCUGAAGAUAUCUGAUCAACUGAGGACCUGUUAAUAGGAGGUAAACAUUGCACAGCCAGGGGGCUGGAGUCAGGAUUGUAAAGAGGAUGAAAAAACACUAGGGGGUCAGGGAGGCACCAAGACCUGAGAUGGCAUGGACCAGACGCUAGGUGUGAGAAUAGCCCACCUCGGGCAGUCACCAGGGCAGGUCUCCUCAUCAAUUCCAUUGGGAUAACCACAGGGAACGUAGAAACCAACAGAGCCAUGGGAGCUGAUGAGGUUUGUGAGAAUCCACCCCAAGAGGACCAAACUACCCCUCAACAGACCAUAACCCAUGAGGAUCAUCUGUAUAUGAACAAUACUGAAAAUCCACAAACUGAAUGUUCAGGGAAGGUCUCCAAGGCAGAGCCCAGUGGCCCCACAAUCACCACGUCAGUGCAUGAAAUGCUGGGUAUCUUAGAGAAAGUGACUGAGCUGGACAUGACCUGCUGCAAAGAUUUAGACUUCUGACCCGAUUUCAGCCACUCAUGGCCCCUUGAUAGAAUGUGUGUGUGUGUUUGGGGGGGGGGUUGUUCACAGCAGUCAGGGAGAGAAGGAAACAUAGCCUGGGGGCCGCAGCUACAGGACCACCACAAACUUGCAAGGCGAACACAGCAAGAGCAAAGAAAACAGAGUUCUAGGUGUGGGAGUAAGGAAGCCAGUGGCCCGACCCAGAGGUCACCAGUGCAAAGUUCUCAAGCAUCACCCUGGGGUAGGUUGCUCUGAGACUCGUCUAAGUGUUCCAUUCUUCCUAGGAGACUCGGCACCACAUCCUCUAGGAUGAGUGCAUCUGAAUCCACUGCACGACAUCCAGGAGCCGGGUCCUUCUCCUGCUGGCCUCGCAUCUUGAUGUGCCCAGGACCUUUCUCCCUAACACCCUCAACAACGCGCUCACCCUCCUCCACAAGGCCCCCUACCUGACUAUGGCCUUACACGGGGCAGGCUAUCAGCCUACUGUCCCCUGAGCAUGUUCCAGACCCAUCCCCGGUACCCCAGACCUGCCUGAGUCCAGUGGCCCAGGCACCACCAGACUCAACACUUGUAAAGUCCAACUGCGGAUCUUCUCCAACACUUCCUCCUCCUGCCAAGGCUCCCUGGCCGCUGGUCCCCAGCUCCUCACUGAACUCAGGCUGGAGAGGCUUUUCUGAGCUCCGUCUCCUCCUCCGUGAAGCAGACACCGCGUCCGGGGCGAUGACUCCAGGGCGGCGGCGGGCACGGAUGGGCUUUGAUGGAGGUGAGACGCGAAGGUGAUGCCUCUUUACCGCCAAAAACACUUGCCAAGCUUAAGCCGCGUACAGAGCGCGCAGCCUCGUCUCAGGCCCUCUAUAUUCCAGUUUCCACCGUUCUGAGGAGCCUCCCAAAUUCCCGCCUCCGCGCAGGUACGCAGUCCGUCUGCCGGACGUGGUUCCGAAGGAGGGCGACGCCGGAAGUCCCACCUCCACGGAACGAGGGAAAGCUCCUCUCUGGGGCCGUCAUUGGCUACGUCGGUACGAACGCACAGCAGCGCCCUCCCCUGUCGCCUUGGCAACGAGCAAGCGGCACCGCGAGGGGAGCUGGGAAAUGAGGCCCUAAAGUGACGCUGGAGCUAAGUUAAUAAAGGCGUCUGGAGGCGGCCGGACUUCCGGCGUUGCUCUAGCUGUGCUCUUCUUGCAGCUGUGGGUGGAGGGCAGCACUUGGAGAGCCGCGUUGCCGAGAAGAGGGUCGGGGACCCUCGUGGCACCUGUGCGCGCGCCGUGACCCUCGGAAAUAACCCCAUUUUUCUAAGACUCGGUGUCGCCCACUGCGGAACGGGUGCCGGAGGGUCAGGGCCUCCCGCGGGCGGUUCCCUGGUCUUUGAACACAUUUUACACGGAGGAGACCUAGCUUCGAAGGUUCCGCGGUCGGCCGGAGGUUCCUGCGCCCAAGGCGGGGUGGUAGGUACGGAUUUGAGCUGAGUAGACCGGAAUUCGGCGCCUAUCGCAGCCAAGCUCCGUCCACAGCUUCCGAUGGCCGAGGAGGCGCUGGGGCUGGUGACCUUUGAGGAUGUGGCUGUGUAUUUCUCCCGGGAGGAGUGGGGGCUCCUUAAUCUGACUCAGAGGAGCCUUUACCGUGAUGUGAUGCUAGAGAACUUUGCACUUAUUGGCUCGCUGGGAUUUGCAUCUUCAAGGUGCCAUGUGGUUGCCCAGCUGGAGAGUGAAGAAGAGUUCUGGGUUCCCAGCAUGGUGGACCUGACUCUGGUCAGCAGAGUUGAGGCCAGGAGGGGUCCUGGUCUUGGUUGUCCAUGUAGCCUGAAGGAUGGGGAAACCCCUACAGAGCAGAUGAAGAGUUACAGAGUCUACCUGUCAGAGAAGCCCUCUCUGCUUGGGGAGUCUGGGAAGGACAUGCCUACCACCUUAGGUCUUCUCCGGCACCAGGCCACCCACAGCAAGGGGAAGCCACACAGGAGCACCGAGCAUGGAGAAGCCUUCCAACCCAGCUCCAGUAGCCAACAGCAGCAGGCAGUCCACGCCACACAGAAGGCCUUCAAGUGCAGUGACUGUGGGAAAGCCUUCCCAAAGGCCUUUGCGCUCCUUGACCACCUGGUAACCCACCCCAAAGAGAGACCCUUUAGAUGUCCAAAAGGUGGAAAUGCCCCCAAGGAGAAAUCCACCCAUGUUAAUUACCAAAAAAUUCACACUGGAGAAACAUCCCAUGUGUGUACUGAGUGCGGAAAGGCCUUUAGUUAUCCCUCUAAACUGAGGAAGCACCAGAAGGUUCACAUGGGCAUAAAACCUUUCAAGUGUGAUGAAUGUGGCAAAACCUUCAACCGCAAAGAUGCGCUCGUUCUGCACCAGAGAAUUCACACUGGAGAAAGGCCUUAUGAGUGUAGCGAAUGUGGGAAAGCCUUCAGCGUUCUGUCUACUCUCAUUCGGCACCGGAAAGUUCACAUUGGAGAAAGGCCCUAUGAGUGCAGGGAAUGUGGGAAGUUCUUUAAAUACAACCAUAGCUUCAUUCUUCAUCAGAGAGUUCACACUGGAGAAAGGCCUUAUGAGUGCAAGCAAUGUGGGAAAACGUAUGUGACCCGCUCUGGCCUGUAUCAGCACUGGAAAGUUCACACUGGAGAACGGCCCUAUGAGUGCAGCCUGUGUGGGAAGACCUUCACCACCAGGUCCUACCGCAAUCGGCACCAGCAGUUCCACACUGAAGAGAGGUCCUAUGAGUGUACAGAAUGUGGGAAAGCCUUCAAACAUAGUUCUACCCUUCUUCAGCACAAGAAAGUCCACACUGGAGAAAGGCCAUAAGAAGACAGGGGAUGUUGGAAAGCCUGUAGCUAGGGCUGGCACCUUGUUCAACAUGAAAAACCUCACUCCAGAAAGGAGAGGAGAGUAGCCAUUUGAAAGCUAAACUUGGCACACCCCAACACAUGCGCUGGGGUGGCAGGUGUGUGGGAAGUUUUCAGGAGCUAGGUUGCACUUGGACCUGCCUAGGCUGUUGGCAGUGUUAAGUUGCUUCCAGUUACCAUGAUACAAACCAUCUCAGCUCCACCACCUGGCAGGUGCCCAAGGUGUGCAUCAGGCACCGCAAUGUGCUCUGGAACAGCAAGACCUCCAUGGUCGCCACUCUUUAAAGGAGAGAAUCAUGAGUGGUGGAGUCCGUGAUGGGCCUCAUUUGCUCCCUCCAACUGGUUCAGGUAUGCCUGUGACCAAGCUCUGGUCAAGAGUAGCUGAGCUGUGUCUACUGGGGGCUUCCAGAGAAGGUUAAUCCUUUCCAUAGACAUCGUUUACACUACGCAUGGUACCUGUCAUGGAUUUAUCCAACCCUGGAACUGACUGUCUCACACUUCCCUGGAAUGUAUGUUUGCACUGGGCGGACCUGGAGUCUGAGACCUAGAAGAGCAGCUGGAUUUGCUGUAGUGUAAUGUCACCCUUCAUGGAUGCCACCACAUUCAGAGGUUCAUCCCCAUCUCUUCUCCAUGCAGCAAAGUAAAAUUCCCAAAGGAAUUUCACAUCAGGUCCACCAGGACAUCCAGCUCUGUGAGUAACCCCCCCCCACAUCCCCCCACCACCUGACUCUAUUUUAAAAAGAGACCUUUUAGCCAGUCUUGUUUGCUCCAUUUUGAAAUCUCCUUUUACAAAGAUGUAGUUAAUGUUCUAACAGAGGUCCAAAUAGUGGAGAGGUUUCUCCCCUUCAAGUUGGGGAAGAAAGUUGCUGGAUUCAAGCUGCUAUAGUGAGAAAAGUGAUACAUAAAAGGUUAAGACACCAUGGGUACCCCAAUAUAUCACUAUGUUCUUUAAUCCUUCUCAUAACACUUACUAGAAAUUGUCUGCUUUCAGCAAGAUCAUUUGUUUUUUAAAAAUUUUAAAAAUGUUUUUAUUUUUGAGACAGAGAGAGACAGAGCAUUAGCAGGGGAGGGGCAGAGAAAGAGGGAGACACAGAAUCCAAAACAGGCUCCAGGCCUGUGCUGUCCGCACAGAACCUGAUGCAGGGCUCAAACUCAUGGACCGUGAGAUCAUGACCUGAGCAGAAGCCGGACGCUUAACCGACUGAUCCACCCAGGCGCCCUUCAGCAAAAUCAUUUAUAUUUAGAAUCCUGGCAGCCAAAUAUCUGUGAAGGCUGUUUUCUAUAUUUUGUGCUAAAAAUUGAGUCUUUUUCUUGUAAAUUGAUAAAUCAUUGAAACAUUUUACUUUUAUAAUAAAAUUAAGAAGGUGGCAUCUUCAUUUUGUCAAUUUUAACUUUUUCUUUUAUCUGCAAUUUGGUAGAUAAAAGUGCUUUCAAAUUAUUAAAUGUGGAGGAUGCCAGACAAAAGUAAUUUGUGCUAUUAUCCUUCCCUUCAUAAAAUGAAGGAGCAGGCAUCCCUAGGUGGCUCAGUCGGUUAAGUGUCUGACUUCAGCUCAGGUCAUGAUCUCACAGCCUGUGAGUUCGAGCCCCGCAUUGGGCCUGGAGCCUGCUUCGGAUUCUGUGUCUCCCUCUCUCUCUGCCCCUUCUCUGCUCACACUCUGUCUCUGAAAAAUAAAUAAUAAACAUUAAUAUUCUUGGUUUGUUUUGUUUUGCUUUUGAGAGAGCGCGCGAGAGUGAGAGCAGGGGAGGGGCAGAGAGAGGGGGGAGAGAAGGAUCCAAAGUGAGCUCUGCACUGACAGCAGAGAUCCCGAUGCGGGCCUCAAACUCAUGAACCCUGAUAUCAUGACCUGAACCGAAGUCCGAUGCUCAACCGACUCAGCUACCCAGGCACGCCUUGUGUUAAUAUUCACUACUGUCACCAACUGGUUUUAUUCUAUAAAACUGACACUGUGUCCUGUGACCCUGAAGACUUAGCACUUCAUAUACUGGUCAUAAAGAAUCACUUUCCUUCCAUAGAUGUUAUGGACUGAAUGUCUGCAUGUCCCCAAACUUCAUAUGUUUAAGCCCUAAUCCCAGUGAUGGUAUCUAGACAAGAGGGCUCUGGGACAUAAUUAGGUUUAUUUAUUUAUUUUUUAAUGUUUUUUAUUUAUUUUAAUUUAAUUUAAAAAAUUUUUUUAAUGUUUAUAUAUAUGUGAAGGAGAGAGAGAGAUGAAGUGUGAGUGAGGAGGGGCAGAGAAAGAGGGAGACACAGAAUCCAAAGCAGGCUUCAGGCUCUGAGCUGUCAGCAUAGAGCCCAAUGCAGGGCUUGAACCCACAAACCGUGAGAUCAUGACCUGAGCUAAAGUUGGAUGCCCAACCGACUGAGCCACCCAGGCACCCCCAUAAUGUUUAUUUAUUUUUGAGAGAGAGAGAGAGAGAGAAACAGAGAGACAGAGCUCAAGUGGGGGAGGGGCAGAGAGAGAGAAGGAGACACAGAAUCCAAAGCAGGCUUCAGGCUCUGAGCUGUCAGCAUAGAGCCCAAUGUGGGGCUUGAACCCACAAACCAUGAGAUCAUGACCUAAGCCCAUGACCUGAGCUGAAGUUGGGCCCUUAAGCCACUGAGCCACCCAGGUGCCCCUGGGACGUAAUUAGUUUUAGAUGAGUUCAUGAGGGUGGUGCUCCAUAAUGGGAUUGGUGCCUUUGUGAGAAGAGGAAGAAAGGUCACACUCUCCUCUCUCUCCACCAUGUGAGGACACAGCAAGAAAGCAAGCCACAGAGAGGGUCAUCACCGGAACCCAAACAUGCUGGCACUCUGAUCUCUGACUUCCAGCCUCCAGAACUAUAAGAAAAUAAAUAUCUGUUGUUUAAACCA